GGAUGUGAGGGUGAUCUAGCUGUGACAUCUGUCAUUGAUCACCGAGGUUGAUCUGGCUGAUCUGGCUGGCUAGCCAGGCACCCCCUUCUCCCUCACGGCUCCACGUGUAUCUCUCUGAAAGCUGUGCUCCUGGUCAAAGAGGAUGACCAAUCCCCAGUAGAGGAGGACCCGUCUUCGGUCAAGGGUAUAUGAGUAACUGUGUUCCCCUGCUAGAACCUCCAAGCAAGCUCUCAAGAACCAGGUGGUGGAUUUCCUUUAAAGUAAUUUAACUAAUUCGUAAUUCAACAAGUCAUUAUAGCCAUGU
rnacentral:snRNA from 1 species